rnacentral:misc_RNA from 1 species
AACGCACAUUGCGCCCGCCAGUAUUCUGGCGGGCAUGCCUGUUCGAGCGUCAUUUCAACCCUCAAGCCCUCCUAUGUGCUUGGUGUUGGGGCUCGGCUGCCCGCUCUGCUGAGCGCAGCCGGCUCCGAAAAUCAGUGGCGGUCUCGCCGCAGUCUCCCCUGCGCAGUAGCACAUCUCGCACUGGAGCGCGGCGCGGCCACGCCGUUAAUCGACGUCGCCCUAGGGCGCGUGCUUUUAGAAGGUUGACCUCGGAUCAGGUAGGGAUACCCGCUGAACUUAA